CUACGGGAGGCAGCAGUGGGGAAUAUUGCACAAUGGGCGCAAGCCUGAUGCAGCGAUGCCGCGUGCGGGAUGAAGGCCCUAGGGUUGUAAACCGCUUUCAGCAGGGAAGAAAAUGACGGUACCUGCAGAAGAAGGUGCGGCCAACUACGUGCCAGCAGCCGCGGUGACACGUAGGCACCAAGCGUUGUCCGGAUUUAUUGGGCGUAAAGAGCUCGUAGGCGGUUCAGUUAGUCGGGUGUGAAAACUCUGGGCUCAACCCCGAGACGCCACCCGAUACUGCUGUGACUAGAGUACGGUAAGGGGGUGGGGAAUUCCUGGUGUAGCGGUGAAAUGCGCAGGUAUCAGGAGGAACACCAGUUGCGAAGGCGCCACCCUGGGCCGUAACUGACGCUGAGGGCCGAAAGCAUGGGUAGCCAACAGGAUUAGAUACCCUGGUAGUCC
rnacentral:rRNA from 1 species